UCAUGGUCAAGUGGUAAGGACACUUGAUUCUCAUUCUGGGGACCCGGGUUCAAUUCUUGGUUGAGGAG